GCAGCAGCCGCGGUAAUACAGAGGGUGCGAGCGUUAAUCGGAUUUACUGGGCGUAAAGCGUGCGUAGGCGGCUUCUUAAGUCGGAUGUGAAAUCCCUGAGCUUAACUUAGGAAUUGCAUUCGAUACUGGGAAGCUAGAGUAUGGGAGAGGAUGGUAGAAUUCCAGGUGUAGCGGUGAAAUGCGUAGAGAUCUGGAGGAAUACCGAUGGCGAAGGCAGCCAUCUGGCCUAAUACUGACGCUGAGGUACGAAAGCAUGGGGAGCAAACAGGAUUAGAUACCCGCGUAGUCCCUGUCUCUUAUAC
rnacentral:rRNA from 1 species